GGCGAGUGAAGCGGCAACAGCUCAAAUUUGAAAUCUGGCCCCCCGCGGGCCCGAGUUGUACUUUGGAGAGGACGCUUCUGGCGCGGCGCCGUCCGAGUUCCCUGGAACGGGACGCCGGAGAGGGUGAGAGCCCCGUACGGGCGGCCGCCUAGCCUCUGCGAAGCUCCUUCGACGAGUCGAGUAGUUUGGGAAUGCUGCUCAAAAUGGGAGGUAAAUUUCUUCUAAAGCUAAAUACCGGCCAGAGACCGAUAGCGCACAAGUAGAGUGAUCGAAAGAUGAAAAGCACUUUGAAAAGAGGGUCAAACAGUACGUGAAAUUGUUGAAAGGGAAGCGCCUGUGGCCAGACUUGCGCCCCGCGGACCACCCGGCGCCUCGCGCGCCGGGGCACGCCAGCGGGGCGCAGGCCAGCAUCGGCUCUCUCGGGGGGACAAAGGCCGCGGGAACGUAGCGCCCUCGCGGCGUAUUAUAGCCCGCGGCGCCAUGCCCCCGGGGGGGCCGAGGACCGCGCUCCGGCAAGGAUGCUGGCGUAAUGGCCACCGGCGACCCGUCUUGAAACACGGACCAAGGAGUCAAGCAUUGGGGCGAGUGUCUGGGUGGCAAGCCCGCACGCGGAAUGAAAGUGAACGCAGGUGGGAGCUUCGGCGCACCACCGACCGAUCCUGAUGUCCUCGGAUGGAUUUGAGUAGGAGCCCCGCCGCUUGGACCCGAAAGAUGGUGAACUAUGCCUGUAUAGGGUGAAGCCAGAGGAAACUCUGGUGGAGGCCCGCAGCGGUUCUGACGUGCAAAUCGAUCGUC
rnacentral:rRNA from 1 species